CUGUAUUCCCGGUUAUGUGAAAUCCAUUGAUUAGGGCCUAAUGAAUUUAUUUCAAUUGACUGAUUUCCUCAUAUGAACUGUAACUCAGUAAAAUCUUUGAAAUUGUUGCAUGUUGCGUUUAUAGUCUGGUUCAGUGUAGUAUUUGUACCCAGGUCUGAUCCACACUCCUCUGUGACGUCAUGUAUAUGCUGUGACAGCGAACGUGCUGAACCCAGGUCUGAUCCACACUCCUCUGUGACGUCAUGUAUAUGCUGUGACAGCAAACGUGCUGAACCCAGGUCUGAUCCACACUCCUCUGUGACGUCAUGUAUAUGCUGUGACAGCGAACGUGCUGAACCCAGGUCUGAUCCACACUCCUCUGUGAUGUCAUGUAUAUGCUGUGACAGCGAACGUGCUCUGAAAAACUCUUCAUGUCUCUGAAACAAUAAAACCUUCAUGAGUAA